UUACGGCCAUAUCACACUGAAACGCCGGUCCCCGUAUGAUCACCAAAGUUAAGCAACGUCGAGCCUAGUCAAUACCUAGAUGGAUGACCGUUUGGAAAUGUGCGGGU